GUGCUCGCGUCGGCAGCACAUAUACUAAAAUCAUAAUGAUACAGAGAAGACUUAGCACGGCCCCUGCGCAAGUUUUAAAUAAGCAAACGCAGAGCUGGGUGUCUAGUAU